rnacentral:rRNA from 1 species
AGAGAGAGACAUGCGCGCAUAUCAAUAAGCGGAGGAAAAGAAACUAACAAGGAUUCCCUUAGUAACGGCGAGUGAAGCGGGAAGAGCUCAGAUUUGAAAUCUUCAAGGUUUUACCUUGACGAAUUGUAGUUUAAAGAAGUGUUUUCUGCUGAAGUUUUGGUAAAAGUUCUUUGGAAUAGGACAUCAUAGAGGGUGAGAAUCCCGUAUUUGACCAUUAUUUUCAGCUUUGUGAUACACUUUCAAAGAGUCGGAUUGUUUGGGAAUGCAGUCCAAAAUGGGUGGUAAAUUUCAUCUAAAGCUAAAUAUUGGCGAGGAGACCGAUAGCGAACAAGUACCGUGAGGGAAAGAUGAAAAGAACUUUGAAAAGAGAGCUAAACAGUACGUGAAAUUGUCAAAAGGGAAGCGUUUGACACCAGUGUUGUUUUCUCGAAAAUCAAUUAAAAAUGGCAGGAUUUUGUAUUGUAUUGACUUUAAUCAGCUUCACUGCUACAUCUUUUCGUGUCUUUUUUAAUGCACUUUUCGUUUAACAAGUCAACAUCAGUUUCUUUUGUUGUAAAAGGGUCAUUGGAAGGUGGCUUUCUUUUCGGAGAAAGUGUUUAUAGCCUUUGGCCUCUGCAAUCGGAGAGACUGAGGUCUGCAGCGUAGACUCUUCGGGGUUAGAUACAUUUGUGCUAAGUUAUAGCUUUUUAUAGACAACUUGUUGACUAUAAUUAGUCUUGUAGCUUACUCGCUUAUGCUAUUUUACCUACGCUUAGGAUGUUGAAGAUGUAGCACAUCAU